GUAGGUGGCAAGCGUUGUCCGGAAUUAUUGGGCGUAAAGCGCGCGCAGGCGGUCCUUUAAGUCUGAUGUGAAAGCCCACGGCUCAACCGUGGAGGGUCAUCGGAAACUGGGGGACUUGAGUACAGAAGAGGAAAGCGGAAUUCCGAAGUGUAGCGGUGAAAUGCGUAGAGAUUUGGAGGAACACCAGUGGCGAAGGCGGCUUUCUGGUCUGUAACUGACGCUGAGGCGCGAAAGCGUGGGGAGCAAACAGGAUUAGAUACCCUGGUAGUCCACGCCGUAAACGAUGAGUGCUAAGUGUUAGGGGGUUUCCCGCCCCCCUUAGUGCUGCAGCUAACGCAUUAAGCACUCCGCCUGGGGAGUACGGCCGCAAGGCUG
rnacentral:rRNA from 1 species